GUUCAAAUAGCUUAUAACUAGAGUAUGACAUUGAAGAUGUUAGGGAGAUUAAUUUAUCUUUGAAUA
rnacentral:tRNA from 1 species